UGCCAGAGCAUGACAAAUACAGAGGUGAAU
rnacentral:piRNA from 1 species